GCAGGAGAAGAUAUUUACUGUCAGAGUAUCAUAUGUGCAUGAGCUAAUUUGGACAUUGGGUGAGCUGAGUCGAGGCAGACCAGGAGUGCAGGCCUGUGGUCCAGGUCAUUUGCUGGUAAGGUGCUCCCGUACCUGCUUUCUGGGUGGGUUCAUUUUGAGGAUAAGGGCAAAAGGCUAUGACCAGGGUAAGGGAAAGAAAGAGCAGGACAGAGGAACAGACUUGGGAGGAAGAGGGGGGCAGGGAGGAAGGGAGCCGGAGACAGAGAAAGGGUAUGACGAAACACAAGAGAGAACCCUUAUCUUCAGCAGGCUAUCAGGAAAGGCCUCAUUCUGAGGAGAGAUGCUCCAAGGGG
rnacentral:lncRNA from 1 species